CAUCUACCAUUCCUCCGGGCCUUGAAGUCUGCCCUCAAAAGCUCCAGACAAGAUGCAUGAGAAAAUAGGCCUGAAAAAGAGAAACCUACGACACCCGAAAACCGGCCUACAUCCCCGUAAUAAAAUCCCCUUUAUGCUUAAGUACACAACUCCCCCAUUACUAUUAGGAAAAUUUAAGAGGUAUUACCAUAGUGAGUUACAGGAGGAAAAAAAACCCCACGACAGUGCCGACCUCACGGAUUUUUACCACACCACUGGCUCUCCCUGCGGGGCUCGUACACUGGGCUGCUGCUCUANNAUCCUCUAUCUAUCCUCCACUCCGCCUGCUCGCCGCCUCCGCGUGGUUGCCAAGCCAAGCCGCACGCUAGCUUCACCACACCGCACUGGCUCCCGGGCUUCUCUUUCCUAUCUUCACGAACUGCUGCUCCUGUCUUCCUAG
rnacentral:lncRNA from 1 species